rnacentral:lncRNA from 1 species
UGUUUGCAAAUAAACCAUUCUGAUAAAUUAUUUUUGUUGCUUAAAAUAAGAGGAGGAACCGCUGUGUGUUAGCAAGAAUGUCCAUACCUGAUAUGAAAGAGUCAUGUUGGCUUCAGUUCCUACUGCCCUGUGGACUUCCCAUUCCCUCCUUACUUGAGUCAACCAUCCACUCAGUACUUUCCACAAAUCUAAUAAUGAGGUGCUCUCUGUAGGUAAAUCCUUUCACUAUGGCUUGUCCUCAAACCUCCCAAGAAAAGGUUCAACUGCUCAAUCUCUUAACCUUUUUAAUUCCAUUCCCUUGCAGGUAUCCCGGCCCUGCAUAACAAGAUGAUCCCAACUCAAGGAAAGGGGUUUAGCAGUGUUGGAUCUUGGCGUAUGUGGGAUUUAACCAGGCAGAAAGGCAGACAAGAGUAAGAUUCUAGGCAGAGAGAGCAAAUGCGUCGAGCAUGGGUAUGAACAUGUGAGGGAUAGAGAAUAAUUCUGCAGGAAGUUUGCUGGAUGGAAGGGCCUUAUAGGGUUAGAAAAGCUGGUGUCAGAUUGUCAAGGACUUUGAAUGUCAUGGGGCUUCUCUUCCAGGAACACAUGGGAUCAGGCUUAGAUUAACCCAAAUGUAAUUGUCAGAGCCCAGAGAUAUUUCAUGGUCCAGUCCUAGCACUGUGCAGCUGCCAAAAGUCAAAGCCAUUCAAAUCUGUACUGAAAACUGUGGAAAAGCAAAGGAGCACUUAAGUCUCUUUCCCCAUGUCUUGCAUUCUCACUCUCUUUUGCUUCAAAGAUCUGUCUUUACCUGCCCCUGUCCCCAGUCCUAACAAAAAGCACUCCCCUAAAUCAACUCUUAAGUUCCUCUCCCUUCUCACUCCUUUCUUAGUCUCCUCUUUCUGUAAGAAGUUCUUGCUCCUGUUGUUAAUGGAAGUUAAUUAAAGUAGUAUUUCACCUUGUAAGGCUGUAAUUCUUGGCACUUGUUAUCCUCAUUUUCUACAUCCAAAGACCAUGGACCAGAAUAUCUCUUAGGAGGUAAGGGAGAGUGAGGCUAUCAGCCAAAGAAAAAGUCUCCAGGGGGAAGGGGAGAAUCACUUAUAAUUUAAUACUUUGUGGAAAAAACAUCUCUGCCACCUAUGGCCCUCCAAUAACAAUGGAAGACAGAAUCAACAGGUGAGAACCUUGGGACAAAAAUAAGUUACAAAGCUGUUGUAAUCCAGGUAAGAGCUAUUAAGUUUCCAAACGAAGGCUGACUGUGAGGAUAAGUGAUACUGAUUUCAGAAAUCUUUAAAAAGUAGAACCAACAAGCCUUGAGGUCUAACUCUGUUCAACAUUAAAGGGAAGAGUGAGUCUAAGAAGACUUCAGGUUUCUAGCUUGGCCAAACCAAUUGAGCUUUAAGUGAAAUGUGCGAUAUGGUAACAGAGAAGGAAAAAGACAUAACGAUAGAUUUGAGCUGCUGGUGGGAAAUUCUGGUUUAGUGCCCAGCUGGCUGUACAGGCUGGUUGGACUUUAGGAGGGAGGUUUGAGCUGGAAAAUAAAGAUGGAGAGUUGUCUUUCAGUUUUAGAUCAUCAGUGAGGUCAUAAGGGUAGAUGGAGUUUACCUGGGAAAAUUAAGUAGCUAUUCGAUUUGGCUUAUUAUUAUGUUAAAAUAAUACUUCUCUAGUGAAGUACUUAAUAUGCCAGAUACUGUGCCAAGCAUUUUAUAUACAUCCUCUCUUUUACUAAGCCCUCAUAGGGCAGGUAUUUUGAUUCCAAUCAUACUGAUUGGAACUCCUAAGAAGGUAUCUUGCUUAAGGUCCCACAACGAAUAGGUGGCAGAUCCAGGGUAAUUCAGGUCUGUCAGAACAGUGAUUCUUAAUUUUUUCCCUCCUCAGACUCCAGGAGUCACAUGAAGUUAUGCAUCCUGUCUGACCGAGGCACAGGCACACCACAUUUUUAUAUUCCGCUUCCAGGAUAUCACAAACCUGAAGCCCAUCCUCCAUGGCCCAGAGAGAAAACCCAGGACAAAACCUUGGAGAAGACUAUUUUCAUGAAGACAAAUGGAGAAGGAGCAGUAGAGUAAAAAGAGAGCAAAUCCAGCUGCCUGUACAAUCCAUGCCACCGAAUGCCGUAAGUGAGACGUAAAAGUUACGAUACUGAAGAGACGUAACCUGACCAAGGCCACAGAGCUGGAAAAAGAAGCAAAGCCAAGCCGUUUUUCUCAUGCACUGCUCACAACAAGCCCCUCCUUCCACUGACUCAUGAAAAACACACUCAUAAUGCCCAGCCCGCACCCUAAUGAACAGCCCUCUUAAGAGUGGUCAUCAGACUUCAAUUUCACAGACUAGAAUUGAGAAAUGGAACAAAACCUUGGGAUACCAGCCUUCCAUUUUGGUAGGGAUCAUUUAAAAAAUGGUAGGGAUCAUUUAAAAAAUGUGUUGGUGUCUGAAACUUACUUUGAAGUGGUUAAAAAACAUAAAAUGUAUAGAUUGUAACAAGCAAAUAUGUUAAAAUGUACUGUACAAUUCUUUCUUUACAAUUUUAUGGAUGUUCGAAAUUUAAAAAAUACUAGAAAGAGAAUGGUCUUAUUUAAAAAAAA